CAGCAGCCACGGUAAUACGAAGGGUGCAAGCGUUAAUCGGAAUUACUGGGCGUAAAGCGCGCGUAGGUGGUUUGGUAAGAUGGAUGUGAAAUCCCCGGGCUCAACCUGGGAACUGCAUCCAUAACUGCCUGACUAGAGUACGGUAGAGGGUGGUGGAAUUUCCUGUGUAGCGGUGAAAUGCGUAGAUAUAGGAAGGAACACCAGUGGCGAAGGCGACCACCUGGACUGAUACUGACACUGAGGUGCGAAAGCGUGGGGAGCAAACAGGAUUAGAUACCCCAGUAGUCCCUGUCUCUUAUAC
rnacentral:rRNA from 1 species